rnacentral:rRNA from 1 species
GAAUUCUGAGAGAGAGAUGGCCCCCCCACACACUGGUACUGAGAACACGACCCAGAACUCUACGGGAGGCAGCAGUAGGAUAUGUCAUGACGAAAGUCUGAACCAGCAUGCCGCGUGCAGGAAGACGGCCCUAUGGGUGUAAACUGCUUUGCAGGGGAAUAAACCCCGAUACGUGUAUCGGGCUGAAUGUACUCUGAGAAUAAGGAUCGGCUAACUCCGUGCCAGCAGCCGCGGUAAUACGGAGGAUCCAAGCGUUAUCCGGAUUUAUUGGGUUUAAAGGGUGCGUAGGUGGCCUGUUAAGUCAGGGGUGAAAGACGGUAGCUCAACUAUCGCAGUGCCCUUGAUACUGAUGGGCUUGAAUGAACUAGAGGUAGGCGGAAUGUGACAAGUAGCGGUGAAAUGCAUAGAUAUGUCACAGAACACCAAUUGCGAAGGCAGCUUACUAUGGUUUUAUUGACACUGAGGCACGAAAGCGUGGGGAUCAAACAGGAUUAGAUACCCUGGUAGUCCACGCCCUAAACGAUGAAUACUCGAUGUUGGCGAUAUACGGUCAGCGUCUAAGCGAAAGCGUUAAGUAUUCCACCUGGGGAGUACGCCCGCAAGGGUGAAACUCAAAGGAAUUGACGGGGGCCCGCACAAGCGGAGGAGCAUGUGGUUUAAUUCGAUGAUACGCGAGGAACCUUACCCGGGCUUGAAAGUUAGUGAAUAAAGCAGAGACGCUUUAGUCCUUCGGGACACGAAACUAGGUGCUGCAUGGCUGUCGUCAGCUCGUGCCGUGAGGUGUUGGGUUAAGCCCCGCAACGAGCGCAAUCCCUAUCUUUAGUUGCCAACAGGUCAAGCUGGGAACUCUAAAGAAACUGCCGUCGUAAGACGCGAGGAAGGAGGGGAUGAUGUCAAGUCAUCAUGGCCUUUAUGCCCAGGGCUACACACGUGCUACAAUGGUAGGAACAAAGGGCUGCUACCUGGUAACAGGCUGCUAAUCUCAAAAAUCCUAUCUCAGUUCGGAUUGAGGGCUGCAACUCGCCCUCAUGAAGCUGGAAUCGCUAGUAAUCGUAUAUCAGCAAUGAUACGGUGAAUACGUUCCCGGACCUUGUACACACCGCCCGUCAAGCCAUGAAAGCCGGGGGGACCUGAAGUCGGCAACCGCAAGGAGCCGCCUAGGGUAAAUUCGUAUGU